rnacentral:rRNA from 1 species
ACUCCUACGGGAGGCAGCAGUGGGGAAUAUUGCGCAAUGGGGGCAACCCUGACGCAGCCAUGCCGCGUGAAUGAAGAAGGCCUUCGGGUUGUAAAGUUCUUUCGGUGAUGAGGAAGGCAGAGAUUUUAAUAGGGUUUUUGUUUGACGUUAGUCACAGAAGAAGCACCGGCUAACUCCGUGCCAGCAGCCGCGGUAAUACGGAGGGUGCGAGCGUUAAUCGGAAUAACUGGGCGUAAAGGGCACGCAGGCGGAUAGAUAAGUGAGAUGUGAAAUCCCCGGGCUUAACCYGGGAACUGCAUUUCAUACUGUUUAUCUAGAGUAUUGUAGAGAGGGGUAGAAUUCCACGUGUAGCGGUGAAAUGCGUAGAGAUGUGGAGGAAUACCGGAGGCGAAGGCGGCCCCUUGGACAAAUACUGACGCUCAUGUGCGAAAGCGUGGGGAGCAAACAGGAUUAGAUACCCUGGUAGUCCACGCUGUAAACGAUGUCGAUUUGGGGGUUGGGCGAAUGCCUGGCUCUCGYAGCUAACGCGUUAAAUCGACCGCCUGGGGAGUACGGCCGCAAGGUUAAAACUCAAAUGAAUUGACGGGGGCCCGCACAAGCGGUGGAGCAUGUGGUUUAAUUCGAUGCAACGCGAAGAACCUUACCUACUCUUGACAUCCAGAGAAUCCUUUAGAGAUAGAGGAGUGCCUUCGGGAGCUCUGAGACAGGUGCUGCAUGGCUGUCGUCAGCUCGUGUUGUGAAAUGUUGGGUUAAGUCCCGCAACGAGCGCAACCCUUAUCCUUUGUUGCCAGCGCGUAAUGGCGGGAACUCAAAGGAGACUGCCGGUGACAAACCGGAGGA